UACGUAGGGAGCGAGCGUUGUCCGGAAUGACUGGGCGUAAAGGGCGUGUAGACGGCUUAAUAAGUCUGGAGUGAAAGUCCUGCUUUCAAGGUGGGAAUUGCUUUGGUGACUGUUGGGCUUGAGCGCGGAAGGGGUAAGUGGAACUCCCAGUGUAGCGGUGAAAUGCGUAGAGAUUGGGAGGAACACCAGUGGCGAAGGCGACUUACUGGGCCGUAACUGACGUUGAGGCGCGAAAGCGUGGGGAGCGAAC
rnacentral:rRNA from 1 species